GUUCAGAGGGUUGGGUCGGGACAAAUGUGGUACUUCCCACUAGGGAACAGAAUGACCCAUUUUCCCAUUAGCCAAGCACUGUCCUUUCACCACUCAGAGCCCAGUCCACGGCAGCUGCUGGAGCUGCCUCUGCUAUGAUGUUUAAAUGGAAUCCCUGUCUCCCCUCUGCAGCCAGUGCUAGGGCUACUUGUUUGUAUGCGCAGAUGAUAACGUGUCCAGGACCUGGUUCCCUCACACGGCCUCUGAAGGGCCCCAUAAUGGAGUCUGGAAUUUUGGUAUGUGCAACGCAGAGGUGCCUAUGUGACCAGCCCCCAAUAAGACGUUGGGUACUGUGUGUCUAAUGGACUUCCUUUGGCAGAAACACUGCAGGGAAAUGUUGCUCCAUUUUCAUUCUGAAGGAGGAACACACUCUGUAAGCCCUUGUGGGAGGGAGAGGGCAUAGAUUCCUCUAGACUCCCCAUGUGUCUUUUCCCUUUACCAUCCAGCGGUGUAUCCUUCCUAUAUCGCUGUAAUAAACCUUAGU